rnacentral:rRNA from 1 species
UACGUAGGUGGCAAGCGUUGUCCGGAAUUAUUGGGCGUAAAGCGCGCGCAGGUGGUUCCUUAAGUCUGAUGUGAAAGCCCACGGCUCAACCGUGGAGGGUCAUUGGAAACUGGGGAACUUGAGUGCAGAAGAGGAAAGCAGAAUUCCCGGUGUAGCGGUGAAAUGCGUAGAUAUCGGGAGGAAUACCAGUGGCGAAGGCGGCUUUCUGGGCCUGUUCUGACGCUGAGGAGCGAAAGCGUGGGGAGCAAACCGG